rnacentral:rRNA from 1 species
AGGGUUUGAUCAUGGCUCAGAACGAACGCUGGCGGCAUGCCUAACACAUGCAAGUCGAACGCUAUCUUUGAUAGAGUGGCGCACGGGUGAGUAACGCGUGGGAACCUGCCUUUCUCUGCGGGACAACGGUUGGAAACGACCGCUAAUACCGCAUACGCCCUACGGGGGAAAGGUCAGCCGGAGAAAGAGGGGCCCGCGUUCGAUUAGCUAGUUGGUAGGGUAAAAGCCUACCAAGGCGACGAUCGAUAGCUGGUCUGAGAGGAUGAUCAGCCACACUGGGACUGAGACACGGCCCAGACUCCUACGGGAGGCAGCAGUGGGGAAUAUUGGACAAUGGGGGCAACCCUGAUCCAGCAAUGCCGCGUGUGUGAUGAAGGCCUUAGGGUUGUAAAGCACUUUCACUGGUGAAGAUGAUGACGGUAGCCAGAGAAGAAGCCCCGGCUAACUUCGUGCCAGCAGCCGCGGUAAUAC